rnacentral:rRNA from 1 species
CCUACGGGUGGCAGCAGUGGGGAAUAUUGCACAAUGGGCGCAAGCCUGAUGCAGCCAUGCCGCGUGUGUGAAGAAGGCCUUCGGGUUGUAAAGCACUUUCAGCGGGGAGGAAGGCGGUGAGGUUAAUAACCUCAUCGAUUGACGUUACCCGCAGAAGAAGCACCGGCUAACUCCGUGCCAGCAGCCCCGGUAAUACGGAGGGUGCAAGCGUUAAUCGGAAUUACUGGGCGUAAAGCGCACGCAGGCGGUCUGUCAAGUCGGAUGUGAAAUCCCCGGGCUCAACCUGGGAACUGCAUUCGAAACUGGCAGGCUAGAGUCUUGUAGAGGGGGGUAGAAUUCCAGGUGUAGCGGUGAAAUGCGUAGAGAUCUGGAGGAAUACCGGUGGCGAAGGCGGCCCCCUGGACAAAGACUGACGCUCAGGUGCGAAAGCGUGGGGAGCAAACAGGAUUAGAUACCCGGGUAGUC